AUCCCAUGUCGAGGACACUUCCUCAAAAAUUCAUUGUACCUUUCCCAUGCCUCGUAUAGAGUUUAAGACUCCAUCUGUCAAAAAUAAGAUAAGUUAUUUCUGUGCUU